rnacentral:lncRNA from 1 species
UUGUGCCUAUAUUCUAUAGCCAUUUAUUUAUGUAUUCACUGAACAGAAAUAUUGGAUCCCUAUUGUAUAUAUGGAAAAGAAUAGCUGUCAGCAAUAGAAUAAGUGAGAGGUAGUCCCUGCCUGAGAGUUUGCAGUCCCUUACCUGAGAUAAACACAUAUACACAAACAUUUAUGGUAAAAGUGUAUUCGGAUUAUAGAGGUUUGACUAAAACACUAAGCAUACAGAGAAGAAACAUUCAAAAUGCAUGCUAUUAAAACAAUACUAUUGCAAAAGUGGUCUGGGCAGUGAGAUGCAUGUUGUUUCUCUGGUGUGGCAUCAGCCAUCCAGAUAUUGAGGGAAAUCCCAAGAGUUUCUUUAAUCCAGUAAAGGGAAACCAAAGUGUUGUUUUCUUUGCAGCAUGGUCACUGUCAGAGAGUUUUAUAGUCUUACUGCUGAGAAUCCCCAGGCUGUUCCUAUCUCUCAUGCAGAAAUUAAGCUCACUUUAUCUUAGAAUCAUAAUGGACUUCAUGGUCCCAAGCAAAGCCAGUUGAUUCUGCAUUUGACUCAUUAGGGGAUCAGGGAUUUCUUUUGGAGAUGGAGAUCCAAGCAGAGAAUGUCUCUUCUCUCCCACACUCCACCUUUUGUUCAUCCUCAGGAUUUACAUGCAAGCUCUGCCUACCCUUAGAAGUUGGAGAAGUUUGACCUGCAGGGACAUCAUUCAAGAAAAAAGCUGGAGUCCAGCAGUGGGACUUUAUAAAAGAACUGCUGCUCCCUGUUCAGAGCCCUCCAUUAGCUCCAUCUGUUUCAAGAGAUUCUACUCAUAUCUUCAGGAAGAAUCAACCUGUCUGCAGUUAAUGGUAACCAUGAAAAGGAAUGUAAUCAUGUCAUAUUCAAUGAAUGAUUUUGUGGCUAUGUUUCAUUUAUCAUCCUCACUGAAGCAUUAUAUGAAUAUGCAUAAUCUUGCUUUCUUUACUGAACUUUUACAUUGUAAUUUCACAAGUAAAUGAAAAAUGCUGUAUUUAGAUGGUUGGCUGGAUUCCCAGUCAUGAUUUUUUUCUUUUGUUUUUCUGAAAUUCAAGGACAUUAUAGAUUGAUUUAUUUUUUCUAUGUGUGCUCUGCCUUUUAUAGUUAAUUUAGCAUGUGUCAUUUCUAAUGUCUUUAGUGAAAAAUAGAAUAAUGGAGUAGUAACCUCACUUCUCUUGCUUUGACUUUUCUAAUCUAGAGAAUCCUUCAUAUAUUACUAUAUCAAUAAAAUUGUUUGAUUUUUUUUUGUUAUUAGUUGC